rnacentral:rRNA from 1 species
ACGAACGCUGGCGGCGUGCCUAAUACAUGCAAGUCGAGCGGAGUUUUGAAAAGCUUGCUUUUCAAAACUUAGCGGCGGACGGGUGAGUAACACGUGGGCAACCUGCCCUUGAGACGGGGAUAACUCCGGGAAACCGGAGCUAAUACCGGAUAACACAUAUCUUCGCAUGAGGAUAUGUUAGAAGGUGGCUUUUAGCUACCACUCAAGGAUGGGCCCGCGGCGCAUUAGCUAGUUGGUGAGGUAACGGCUCACCAAGGCGACGAUGCGUAGCCGACCUGAGAGGGUGAUCGGCCACACUGGGACUGAGACACGGCCCAGACUCCUACGGGAGGCAGCAGUAGGGAAUCUUCCGCAAUGGACGAAAGUCUGACGGAGCAACGCCGCGUGAGUGAUGAAGGUUUUCGGAUCGUAAAGCUCUGUUGUUAGGGAAGAACAAGUACCUGUUAAAUAAGCAGGUACCUUGACGGUACCUAACCAGAAAGCCACGGCUAACUACGUGCCAGCAGCCGCGGUAAUACGUAGGUGGCAAGCGUUGUCCGGAAUUAUUGGGCGUAAAGCGCGCGCAGGCGGUUCCUUAAGUCUGAUGUGAAAGCCCACGGCUCAACCGUGGAGGGUCAUUGGAAACUGGGGAACUUGAGUGCAGAAGAGGAGAGCGGAAUUCCACGUGUAGCGGUGAAAUGCGUAGAGAUGUGGAGGAACACCAGUGGCGAAGGCGGCUCUCUGGUCUGUAACUGACGCUGAGGCGCGAAAGCGUGGGGAGCGAACAGGAUUAGAUACCCUGGUAGUCCACGCCGUAAACGAUGAGUGCUAAGUGUUAGAGGGUUUCCGCCCUUUAGUGCUGCAGCAAACGCAUUAAGCACUCCGCCUGGGGAGUACGGUCGCAAGACUGAAACUCAAAGGAAUUGACGGGG